rnacentral:rRNA from 1 species
UACGUAGGUGGCAAGCGUUGUCCGGAUUUAUUGGGUUUAAAGGGUGCGUAGGCGGCCCCGUAAGUCAGUGCUGAAAUAUCCCGGCUUAACCGGGAGGGUGGCAUUGAUACUGCGAGGCUUGAGUAAAGUUGAGGUAGGCGGAAUUGACGGUGUAGCGGUGAAAUGCUUAGAUAUCGUCAAGAACACCGAUAGUGUAGACAGCUUACUAGCUUAACUGACGCUGAGGCACGAAAGUGUGGGGAUCAAACAGG